CAUCGGGUUCCUUCGCAGUCACACCACGCCGUCCUUACCAUUUAUUUGCUUGGGCCCUAGGAGCAGCAGUGCCACAUUCGGUAUACGAGUGAAAUAUUUCCAUGCAAUCUCUUGAGGUCUAGAUCUCCAUCAAGAUAGAACAACCCUCCACCAUCCACACUCAUGCGCCAUGGAGAAAGCCGUAGUGAGUGCGGCGACCGGAGCGAUGAGCUCCGUCCUCGUAAAGCUGGCGGAGCUGCUCCAUGAGAAGUACAAGCUUGCCAAGGGGGUCCGCAAGGAUAUCGAGUUCCUCAGGUCAGAGCUCGGCGUCAUGAAUGACCUGCUGUAUGUGAUGGCAGACAUCGAGGAGCUCGACGCCCUCAACAAGGGGUGGCGGGACAGGGUGCGGGAGCUGGCCUAUGACGUCGAGGAUUGCAUCGAUCGCUCUGUGGCCCGGUUCCGUCAUACUGGCGGCGAUGCCAGCAAAGGCGGGUUCUUCGGCACCAAGCAGCUGGCACGGAAGUUCAAGAAAAUCAGAGUGUCUUUUCAGAUCGGUCACCAGAUACAAGAGCUCAAGGCUCGUGUCAUCGAGGAGAGCGAUCGACAGAAGAGAUACAAGCUUGAUGGCCUCAUCGGAUCCAGCUCCGAUGCUUCACGUAAUAAGGUUGACCUCCGGAUGUGCGCGCUUUGGGAGGAGACGAAGAAUCUCGUCGGACUCAAUGGACCCAUGGAUGAGGUCAUCCGCUUGUUGAUGCCUGCAGAGGGAGAGAUGCCCUCGCAGCAAGUCAGGACUUUGUCCAUCGUUGGGUGUGCAGGCUUGGGCAAGACCACUCUCGCCAAUCAGGUGUACCAGAAAAUUCAAGGCCAUUUUGAGUGCAAAGCCUUUGUACCGGUGUCUCAGAACCCUAACAUUAAGGAUAUACUGAUGAAGAUUUGUUCUCAAGUUGGAGCAACCCCAAGCAUGGCGGAUGAUGAGUUCCUUCUCGUCAACAAGCUCCGAGAGCGACUCCAGUACAAAAGGUACAUUGCUGUAGUGGAUGAUAUAUGGCACUCCGAUCCAUGGAAGAUCAUUGGACAAGCAUUGGUCAGUACUAGCCCUGGUAGCAUAAUAAUCGUGACAACACGUCUGAAAGAUGUAGCCGAGUCAUGUUGUUCUUCUCACGGUGGUCGUGUUUAUGAUAUGAGACCUCUAGACGACAAUGACUCUAGAAGGUUGUUUUUCAAAAGAAUUUUUGACUCUGAAGAUAAGUGUCCUCAUGAGCUGGAAAGAACUUCUGAAGAUAUACUAGAAAAGUGUGAUGGCAUACCACUUGCAAUAAUUUCGAUAUCCAGCUUCUUGGCAUUUGAUGUACCACAAUCACCUGAUCACUGGAACAAGGUGAAAGAAUCUAUCACUUCUCCGCUUCCAGGGAAUAAGUCUGCUGAGACCAUGAAAUCAGUAUUAUCACUCAGUUACUUGAAUCUGCCACACCAUCUGAGGACUUGCCUGUUGUACUUGAGUGCAUUUCCAGAAGAUUGCAUAAUCGAAAGCGAUCAUUUGAUAAGCAGAUGGAUUGCAGAAGGAUUUGUUAAUGCAGAAUCAGGAGAGAGUCUAUAUGAAGCAGGGCUAAGGUAUUUCAAUAUUCUGAUAAACCGGAGCUUGAUCCAACCGUGGAAUCGGCUGAGAGGUGUGGUGGUGAGCUGUAAAGUUCACGAUGUCAUCCUUAAUUUCCUUGUGUCCAAAUCAGUUGAGGAGAACUUUCUUACUUUGUCGGUCCCAUCCAGGCUCCCAACUUCUCUCCAUAGCAAGGUUCGUCGCCUAUCUCUCCAGAAUAGCUACCAAGAGAAUGUAGUUUCAUGGAUACAGUCUAUUAAGCCUUAUGUCCGGUCACUUGCAUGCUCUGUGGACUGCAAAGAAUUGUUUCCUCUGACGGAGUUUGAAGUUGUACGUGUGUUAGACCUUGAAGACUUUGAGCCAUUGACAAAUGCGCACCUUGCAAAUAUAGAGGUGUUACUUCAGUUGCGGUAUUUGAACAUUAAUGGAACAGGUGUCAGUGAGCUCCCUGCUGGAAUUGGACAAGUCCAUAAUUUAGAAACAUUAGAUAUAAGAUACACUCAAGUGGAAAAAUUGCCGUCAACUAUUGUUCGACUUGAAAAGUUGGCACGUCUUAUCGUCAGUCCAAAAGUCAAGUUCCCAGCAGAAGGCUUCAGCAAGAUGAAAGGAUUGGAACAACUAUCACGUUUCUCGAUCCACGGGCAACCACUCAGCUUUCUAAAAGAGCUAGGCCAGCUUACCAACCUGAGAACCCUAGAAGCUGUUUGCGAUGGCAUUCUCGAUGUCAAUUAUGAAGGUAGCGGGUGGGGGAUCUUCACUUCUUCACUCCAAGCACUGUGCAGCCAUAAACUUCUAGAUGUUGACAUAUGUAUGAUGGGCCCCAUCUCCAUGGAUUCCUCCUUCUCUACUCUGCAAAGCCUCCGGACAUUUGUCAUUUGGCCCAUCAGCAGUCUCCCUAUCUGGAUGGGCUUACUUGUUAAUCUCGAGUUGUUAGAACUCGAAACUAAACGAUUCACUUCGGAGGAUUUGCGAGUGCUUGGUGGCAUGCCGGCUCUUGAGACCCUUAUAUUGUAUAUUGCCGACACCUAUGCUUGUCCUUUCACCAUCCGAGGACACGAAUUCCAGCGCCUCAAAUCAUUCAGGGUUGGCGAACUCUACCAAAUUUUGUUUAUGCCUGGUGCUAUGCCUAACCUGAAGCACCUCAAAAUUGGACUCGCCUUCACCUCAAAUAGUUACAUCGAUCUCGGCAUCCAGCACCUUGCCAGCCUCACCAGGGUCGAUGUGGGUAUGAAUGCCUGGAGUCACCAGAGUCGGCGUGGGAAUCGUGAAGAUCUGGAGGCCAAAAUCCGGAGCUUACUUGACGCACAUCCCAAUCGUCCCACACUAAUCUUCAAUACAUUUCUUUAGGACGAUCGCUAUUCACUAAAAGGGUUGGAAAAAUGAAUAAUAAGCAGUAGCUUCACGAUAGCAAGGAUCCUUGUCAACCAGUCUUUCGGUUCGUCCGUCCAGUCUUGUUUACCAUUGGCCGAGGGUUUGGUGGUGUAAUGCGUGGAUCUGCCAGGGGGAGGGGAGGAAUGGGGGAAUGGUCUGCUCGCCAGUCGCCACAGAGCUGAGCUGAGGACCGUCUCUGCCAGGUGGGGCCAGGGAAGCAGCCACACAGCGUGAGAGUGAUGAAGCGUUUGUGUGAUGGGCCGGGCUGCGCCGUGCGUGCAUCAUCACAUUCGACGGAAGCCCAGCAAGGCAGGCAGCCUUCUUAAUUUUGGAAAAAAAAUUCUUUUCAAAAUUUUCCUUUUGGCUAAUUACCGGACUGCCAAGCUAUAAGAUUGGCAAUUUCUCUAUGAUCAUCUGCAAAGAACCAAUUGAGGGGACCUCUUUUAAAAAAGUUGUCCAGUCAAAUAAUACACACAACUAACACUCGCUCCUUCCACAAUUUAGCAGAAUGAGCAGAUAAGUUGCCUCAGUUGUGGGCGAAGGUCAA